rnacentral:rRNA from 1 species
AUUGAACGCUGGCGGCAGGCCUAACACAUGCAAGUCGAAUGGUAACAGGAAACAGCUUGCUGUUUCGCUGACGAGUGGCGGACGGGUGAGUAAUGUCUGGGAAACUGCCUGAUGGAGGGGGAUAACUACUGGAAACGGUAGCUAAUACCGCAUGACGUCGCAAGACCAAAGAGGGGGACCUUCGGGCCUCUUGCCAUCAGAUGUGCCCAGAUGGGAUUAGCUAGUAGGUGGGGUAACGGCUCACCUAGGCGACGAUCCCUAGCUGGUCUGAGAGGAUGACCAGCCACACUGGAACUGAGACACGGUCCAGACUCCUACGGGAGGCAGCAGUGGGGAAUAUUGCACAAUGGGCGCAAGCCUGAUGCAGCCAUGCCGCGUGUAUGAAGAAGGCCUUCGGGUUGUAAAGUACUUUCAGCGGGGAGGAAGGGAGUAAAGUUAAUACCUUGGCUCAUUGACGUUACCCGCAGAAGAAGCACCGGCUAACUCCGUG